rnacentral:rRNA from 1 species
CCUACGGGUGGCAGCAGUGAGGAAUAUUGGUCAAUGGACGCGAGCCUGAACCCUCCAAGUAGCGUGAAGGAUGACUGCCCUACGGGGUGUUAACUUCUUUUAUAAAGGAAUCAAGUGAGGCACGUGUGCCUUUUUGUAUGUACUUUAUGAAUAAGGAUCGGCUAACUCCGUGCCAGCAGCCGCGGUAAUUGGGAGGAUCCGGGCGUUAUCCGGAUUUAUUGGGUGUAAGGGGAGCGUAGAUGGGUUGUUAAGUCAGUUGUGAAAGUGUGCGGCUCAACCGUAAAAUUGCAAUUGAUACUGGCAGUCUUGAGUACAGUUGAGGUAGGCGGAAUUCGUGGUGUAGCGGUGAAAUGCUUAGAUAUCACGAAGAACUCCUAUUGCGAAGGCAGCGUACUAAACUGCCACUGACAUUGAUGCUCGAAAGUGUGGGUAUCAAACAGGAUUAGAUACCCGGGUAGUC